GUUUUUACCAAUUCAGAAACUCUGUCUUGUAUGUCCUUCGCCGCUUCGAAGUUUCUCGCUUUGCUACCCCUUUGCUUCUUUUGAAUUUCUUUUGCAAUCAUUUGCUAUUUUGCGAUCUUUCUCAUCUUUGUAGUCCAGGUUUCUUGGAUUGUGCAUAUCCGAUUAGCACAUGCAUGUUUGUAAAUUUACUGCAUAGAUGUAAAUAAGCUCUGGCCACAUUCGGGUUUCCGUCUAAAGCAACAAUAGUGUAGAAACGGACAAGAGAUUUGAUGCAGACGAGCCGCUUGAUAAUAUACUUAAACAACUUAGUUCUGAUAUUUCUGGAUAGUUGAGUUUGCGUUAUUGGAUUCUUUUUCCUACUAAAUGUUCCUUUUUUUUAUGUUGGAAGAACCAUACUUUUUGAGUUUUUUGUAGGUCAAUGAUAAUUUGUUCGCUAAUCUUCAUCUGUUCGAUAUGAUAAAUGAUUUGCCCAUUAUAUUCAUUUAAGAUCUCUUAAUCAUACUUGAGGCAUUUUUCAAUUAAAAGUUAGUAAUAUUUUCUAUCUUAUGUUGAUUUCUAUGAAUAUUAUCAUAUGUUUACCUGAGUUUGUUCUGUUAGCCAUUGCUUAUCUAAAACAAAAUAGAUUCGGCCAUAGGAUGCCCAUUCUCCCUCCCAAGUGAUUCUCAUCCUUACCCUGCAGCUGCAAAAAAGGUUGAUGACAUGUGUGAAAUAUAACGGUUAGAUAUUGAACUUUAGUGUAGGUGUGUUCUAAAAAAAAUUGAAAUAUUCGGAUUAAAUGUAGGCACUCUACUCAUUUCUUGGUUUCUGCUUGAAUUUUGUUUUCAGGUGCAAGUAGGAGGAUCACCAGUUUAUAAGGUUGAAAGGAAGUUAGGUAAAGGUGGUUUUGGACGAGUGUUUUUGGGUCGCUGUCUUAUUGGCGGGAAUGAAUGUGCUAAUGGCCCUUGGCUCUGGAAUAAUGUGGCCGCUUACGAAUUCUCUAGCCACUCAUUUUUCCUUCUCCUUCUUGAGAAGGCUAAUUUACUUGUCUACAAGUUUUAGCAUCUUGUGGAUGUAAUUGUUAAUGAAAUCUCAUUUUACCUGAUAAAAGAAAAUCACAUUGACUUUCUGUUAUGUCUCUAGGUGGCACUGAAGUUUGAGUAUCGAAAUAGCAAAGGCUGAUGCUAUGGCCCUCCAUAUAAGUAACGAGUUUACAACACUUUUGGAGGCAGUCAUGGAGUGCGAAUAGAGAAUUAAAAAAAAAAGUACAAGAGAUUAUUAUGUCAUAGUAUGUUUACGGAGAGAGAUUUGCAUUACUUAUUGUAAUUACGGAGGACAACAAAAUGAAUUGUGGAUAUUCAUUAUUAAGAGAGGCAUCAAUAUUAUGAGUUGUGGCUCUGAUUGUGACCUCUUUUAG